UCUCCGUUGGUGAACCAGCGGAGGGAUCAUUAUAGAGUUUUCUAAACUCCCAACCCAUGUGAACUUACCAUUGUUGCCUCGGCAGAAGCUGCUCGGUGCACCCUACCUUGGAACGGCCUACCCUGUAGCGCCUUACCCUGGAACGGCUUACCCUGUAACGGCUGCCGGUGGACUACCAAACUCUGAUUUAACGACGUUUCUUCUGAGUGGUACAAGCAAAUAAUCAAAACUUUUAACAACGGAUCUCUUGGUUCUGGCAUCGAUGAAGAACGCAGC
rnacentral:misc_RNA from 1 species